rnacentral:rRNA from 1 species
AUUGAACGCUGGCGGCAUGCUUUACACAUGCAAGUCGAACGGCAGCGCGGGCUUCGGCCUGGCGGCGAGUGGCGAACGGGUGAGUAAUACAUCGGAACGUGCCCAGUAGUGGGGGAUAGCUCGGCGAAAGCCGGAUUAAUACCGCAUACAACCUGAGGGUGAAAGCGGGGGAUCUUCGGACCUCGCGCUAUUGGAGCGGCCGACCGCAGAUUAGCUAGUUGGUGGGGUAAAGGCCUACCAAGGCGACGAUCUGUAGCUGGUCUGAGAGGACGACCAGCCACCCUGGGACUGAGCCACGGCCCAGACCCCUACGGGAGGCAGCAGUGGGGAAUUUUGGACAAUGGGCGAAAGCCUGAUCCAGCAAUGCCGCGUGUGUGAUGAAGGCCUUCGGGUUGUAAAGCACUUUUGGCGGGAACGAAAAGGACUGUGCCAAUACCACGGUUCGAUGACGGUACCCGCAGAAUAAGCACCGGCUAACUACGUG